rnacentral:rRNA from 1 species
CCUACGGGAGGCAGCAGUGAGGAAUAUUGGUCAAUGGACGGAAGUCUGAACCAGCCAAGUCGCGUGAAGGAUGACGGCUCUAUGGGUUGUAAACUUCUUUUGUACGGGGAUAAACCUGGGUACGUGUACUCUGUUGUAUGUACCGUAUGAAUAAGGAUCGGCUAACUCCGUGCCAGCAGCCGCGGUAAUACGGAGGAUCCGAGCGUUAUCCGGAUUUAUUGGGUUUAAAGGGUGCGUAGGCGGAUUGUUAAGUCAGUGGUGAAAGUUCGCGGCUCAACCGUGAAAUUGCCGUUGAAACUGGUGGUCUUGAGAAUAGUUGAGGUAGGCGGAAUGCGUGGUGUAGCGGUGAAAUGCUUAGAGAGCACGCAGAACUCCGAUUGCGAAGGCAGCUUACCAAUCUAUAACUGACGCUGAUGCACGAAAGCGUGGGGAUCAAACAGGAUUAGAUACCCGUGUAGUC